rnacentral:rRNA from 1 species
AUGAACGCUAGCGGCAGGCCUAAUACAUGCAAGUCGAGCGGAGCUGUUCCUUCGGGAACAGCUUAGCGGCGGACGGGUGAGUAACACGUAGGUAACCUGCCCACAAGACUGGGGUAACGUCCGGAAACGGAUGCUAAUACCGGAUACUUAUACUGGAACGCAUGUUCCAGUACGUAAAGGCGGAGCAAUCUGCCGUUUGUGGAUGGGCCUGCGGCGCAUUAGCUAGUUGGUGGGGUAACGGCUCACCAAGGCGACGAUGCGUAGCCGACCUGAGAGGGUGAUC